AAACGUAGUCCAACAACGAAAGAGCCCUGAAGCUCAAGCGGAGCCCGCUGGCCGCAGGGGCCGCACCACGCCCCAGACCCUGGAGUUUCCGGGUGCGCAGACCCUUGCCAUCAGCAGAGGCUGCCGCUGCGCGUCCCCUAGGCGCGGAAGAGGCGGCUGGUGGUCCCUGACGGCAAGGUGAAGUCGAGGCAGUAAUCGGGAACCCAGGUUUUAUACAUUACGAAUAAAGCUGGCACGUUUCCAUUUCUCCUGGGCAAAUAUUUAGAAGAAAAGUUGCUGGGUAAUUGAUAGUGAUUUGAUGUCUAUGUAGUGAGUACUCAGGAGAGCCCAUACAAGGGAAAGCCUCAUCAUGUCCACAUAUCUCAGUUUACUAGUGGAGACAAGGUUUCGCCACAUUGACUGGGCUGGUCUGGAACUCCUGAGCUCAAGCAACCGGCCCUCCUUGACCUCCCAAAGUGCUAGGAUUACAGGUGUGAACCACCGUGCCCGGCCCUACUUUCUAUCGAAGUAGAAUAGGUAGAUCACAUUAUUAUUAACAGUAUAUGGGAAGAGGGAGGUCCUCCCAUGUUACAUUGUUCUCCCUUCACCUUCUGGGUCAUGUUGCACCACUGUUUCCCUUCUAGUCAUAUCCCAGGGGGCCUUGUCCCAUUUAUACAGCUCUAUUCUAGUGGUCACCAGAGGAAUGGGAGUAAUCUGAUUGAAAGAUAAGACAGAAGAUUGUACUCUCUUUUUUUUUUUUUUGAGACAGAGUCACCCAGGCUGGAAUGCAGUGGCAUUGUCAUGGCUCACCGCAGUCUCAAACUCCUGGGCCCAAGUGAUCCUCCCACUCAGCCUCCUGAGUAGCUGGGACUAGAGGCACAUGCAACCACAUGCAGCUAUUUUUUUUUAAAUUUUCUGUAGAGACAGGGUCUCACUGUGUUGCUCAGUUUGUCUCAAACUCCUGGGCUCAAGUGAUCCUCCUGCCUUGGCCUCACAAAGUACUAGGAUUACAGGCAUGAGUCACCACACUCAGCUGAACUCUACUCUUUAUGUUCAGGAAAGCACUGGAGAAGAGAGAGGACAAGAGAAACAGGUCCGUAGUGACAGGAGCCUAGGAAUAGAGCAGGCCUUCAGUCUUGGUGAAAAAAUAAAUGGUAUUCUAAGCCUUCCUUUGGACAUUAA
rnacentral:lncRNA from 1 species